CAAAGCUGCACUGCAUGUCUGUCCACUGCAGUGCCAUCCACCUCUCCCUCCUCCCCAGGAAGCACUGAAGACAGCUGCUGAUGCACUCACCCAGCGCUGUCACUCAGCAUUCACCUGGCCUGGCUGUGUGGAGGAGAAAACCGGAAUGGAAUAUUCCCCCAGCAAAAGCAGCAUGUCCUUUCUGUUCUGAACAGGAAACGGAGCUAUGCUGUCAUCAAAGUUUAUUCUUAAGAUAGUGCUGAGCCCUUCUGAGAGGCACUGCCAGGAACAGGGAGGCAUGGAUGGCAAGUGGACCUCACCAUGGACCUGGACCACACUCCCCGGCUGCUCCAUGCAUUCAGACUGCAGUGAGGAAGACCUGAGAAGAAUAUUUGGAUGAGUAACACAGCUGACCCCUCAUACUCUGUGACUCAUGAACAAGCAGGCUGCUCUCAAAUCCGU
rnacentral:lncRNA from 1 species